rnacentral:rRNA from 1 species
AACGGCGAGUGAAGCGGCAAAAGCUCAAAUUUGAAAUCUGGCCUCCUACGGGGGUCCGAGUUGUAAUUUGUAGAGGAUGCUUCGGGUGUGGCCGCCGUCUAAGUUCCUUGGAACAGGACGUCAGAGAGGGUGAGAAUCCCGUCUUGGGCGGCCGGUCCGCGCCCGUGUGAAGCUCCUUCGAAGAGUCGAGUUGUUUGGGAAUGCAGCUCUAAGCGGGUGGUAAAUUUCAUCUAAAGCUAAAUACUGGUCGGAGACCGAUAGCGCACAAGUAGAGUGAUCGAAAGGUUAAAAGCACCUUGAAAAGGGAGUUAAACAGCACGUGAAAUUGUUGAAAGGGAAGCGCUUGCGGCCAGACUCGGGGGCGGGGUUCAGCGGGUGCUCGUCGCCCGUGCACUCCCCGUCUCCCGGGCCAGCAUCAGUUUCGACGGCCGGUCAAAGGCCUCCGGAAUGUGUCGUCUCUCGGGACGUCUUAUAGCCGGGGGUGCAAUGCGGCCCGUCGGGACUGAGGAACGCGCUUCGGCUCGGAUGCUGGCGUAAUGGCCGUAAGCGGCCCGUCUUGAAACACGGACCAAGGAGUCUAACAUCCACGCGAGUGUUCGGGUGUCAAACCCGUGCGCGCAGUGAAAGCGAACGGAGGUGGGAGCCUUAGGGCGCACCAUCGACCGAUCCUGAAGUCUUCGGAUGGAUUUGAGUAGGAGCGUGGCCGUUGGGACCCGAAAGAUGGUGAACUAUGCCUGAAUAGGGUGAAGCCAGAGGAAACUCUGGUGGAGGCUCGCAGCGGYUCUGACGUGCAAAUCGAUCGUCAAAUUU